AACGAACGCUGGCGGCAGGCUUAACACAUGCAAGUCGAACGCCCCGCAAGGGGAGUGGCAGACGGGUGAGUAACGCGUGGGAACAUACCCUUUUCUACGGAAUAGCUCUGGGAAACUGGAAUUAAUACCGUAUACGCCCUACGGGGGAAAGAUUUAUCGGGGAAGGAUUGGCCCGCGUUGGAUUAGCUAGUUGGUGGGGUAAAGGCCUACCAAGGCGACGAGCCAUAGCUGGUCUGAGAGGAUGAUCAGCCACAUUGGGACUGAGACACGGCCCAAACUCCUACGGGAGGCAGCAGUGGGGAAUAUUGGACAAUGGGCGCAAGCCUGAUCCAGCCAUGCCGCGUGAGUGAUGAAGGCCUUAGGGUUGUAAAGCUCUUUCACCGAUGAAGAUAAUGACGGUAGUCGGAGAAGAAGCCCCGGCUAACUUCGUG
rnacentral:rRNA from 1 species